rfam:Peniophora sp. CONT PENSPscaffold_8_Cont15, whole genome shotgun sequence.
UCCGGUAUGGUGUAACGGCUAACAUGGCUGCCUUUCACGCAGCAGCUCGGGGUUCGAUUCCCCGUACCGGAG